UUCCUUUUACAAUUCACGGAACUGUGCUCUGUGAUCCCCUGGCUGCCAAUUUUCUUCUUUGGAGAGAAACUUCACUUGUGUUGCUUCUUUUCAUAGCAAGAGGUUGGAUUUGGCUUCAGGGUCGAACGCAGCGGCAGCUUGAUCGUUUUAUAGAGCCACCCUGAACAAUGGUGUUAUCUGAUCAACAGUUUCUAGAGUAGCCAGCCGUCAUACAUUUGUUUGACCCUGUCAAGUUCGCGGUAAAACGCUGAGCAUGAUGGGGGAGAAUGGAGGCAAUGCUGAGGCCGCUAUAUUCCACCCCUUUUUUCCAAGGUCAUUGACUGAUGAGGUUGAGGAUAACCAUAGCUGGUCACAUUU
rnacentral:sRNA from 1 species